rnacentral:lncRNA from 1 species
UGGAAACCCUCUCCCCGCUCUCAAGCAACCCUAAUCUAUCAAAUGGAUUUUUUUUUAAAACGGGAGAAUAAGCUACUGCUGGCACCACAUCCUUCGCUAACAUCGCAACCAUUAACACUCGAGCCGCCACAACGUUACCACCAGCGUUUCCAUCACCGCCUCCGAUGAUCAUUUUCUCCUCUCUGCACUGUUGGCACCCCUAUCCAUGUACACUAAUGUCGCCACCAUUAAGAACCGGACAACCACAAACUCAUUACAACUGCAACUAGACCUCACGACCAUCAAAGAACAACAUUAGUAACGCCGAUCAUCCGCUAUCCCCGAUCUAGUUUCUCUGUCUAAAACCCUCAUCAAUGAUCAUUUUGUGUCUUUUUCUCUCUCUGUUCUCGACACCAUCAUUGAUUGCCACCAUUGUCCAAGCCACCGCCGUGCAUGCCUCCACAGGUUCUCUCUACAGGUUUUAUUCAUUCCUUCCAGAUAUUCUCUCGAUUACUGAUUAAAAGAAUUACUUCCAUAUAAAAACUUCUCCCUUCUUGACUAUAUUGAUCAAGGUUAUCACAGUUUUAAUCCGAAAUAAUCAUUAUUGGAAGUUCUAAUCGUGGUGAAGUUAAAGUUUAUUUGAUACCGUCGAAUUUGAAUUUUUUCCUCCCUGCACACCUUGUGUUCGAUAAAAUGCCAAGUAGAAUAUAUUAGUUUGUUUCCAUUGGUGACAAAUGUGUUUACGGCAGAAUUUGGAAAAAAAUGCAAUUUUAAUUCUAAUAUUAUUAAUUUGUUUCCAAUAGUGAAAUUUCUAUGAGUUUUUGGAGAAAGUGGAUGUGAUUUAAAGUACCAGUAGCAUGAAUAGUUGAGUUUAUUUACAAAAUUGAAAAUACCAGCUGUCAACUUCCUGAAAUAUGUUAGAAUCAAUUUAUUGAACUCUAAAAUUUUAGUUCAAAGGUGUCUUAAUAUGUUAUAAUUCAUAUUAAAAUGAAAUAUGAAAAUUUGAUAAGUUUUAAAAUUUACUAAACUUUUUUUUGGCAUACUUGGACAACAAUUGUAACCCCUAUGUUUAUAAUAUUCCAAAGAAAUUUACAAAAAAAAUCAUUAAUAAUUUAUCAAAUUUUACUAUCUUUAUGGUGCUAACAGUUUUUGUUGUUGCUUUUGACUAGGAGCAGGAUCAAGCUCAUUUCAACUUUGGACCCUUGUAUGCAUAUCUAUAAAUCAACUACUUGGAUAUAUUUCUUGUUAUCUAUGAAUUCCCUGUAAGCUUACUAUUUAUUUUAUCAUGGUUUAUAGCUCAAUACUAAGUUAUUUAAUGAACAAAAAGACAAAGCUUGGAUGAUGCAAUUGCAGAUUUGCAGGUCCAACUUGUUUUCAUGAUAAAGAUGUUGACUUUUUUUUGUGGUGUCAUUUUAAAAUGGAUUUUAAUGUUGAGUAUUUGAAUGAAUUUAUAGGUGUGUGAAUCCAGAUUUGUAUUUGAAGAAAAAACCCAUUAAAAAAUGGAGCUUCUUAUGUUGACUGAAUUGAAAUGUAUUAUGCAAAUUGCAAACAAUGACUCCAUUUUCUUCCAUUGAGGAACUUACUUAUGAUCAACCUAUUUCAAUAUAUUUAAUUUUGAGAUCAACCCAACUCAUAUUAUGCUUAACUAAUGCUAAUCAUAAGUUGCAGUUUGUGUAAUAUGUUAUGGCGUGUGUUGUGACAUGAUUAAAUAUUUGAGUUGAUUAAAAAGGGGGCUAAAAUGGUAAUUUAUCAUGUAGGGAUUGACUUGUUAGGAGGAGUGGCAGUUGUGGUUGGAAAAACUCAGAUUUACGCCCUCUUUUAACAUAUACAAAAG